UUAUACACUAUAGAUGAGUUAAUACCCAAUAUAGUCCUCGACUAUAGUGAUUUUACUCAAUUUAGUCCUAAGUGACUUUUUGUACUCUAUUUAGUCUCUGACUUUAAUGGUUUUACCCACUUUAGUCCUCUGUUAAA